rnacentral:rRNA from 1 species
CGUAUCACCCAAGACAACUUUACGGAGUUGACGAUUGACGGAGCGAAGCGACGUCAAAGCGUUCAUUAAAGUCGAGUUGGCUUAGGGAUACGUUCGUUGGGUAGGGGAGCGUUCUGUAAGCCUGUGAAGGUGUGUCGUGAGGCAUGCUGGAGGUAUCAGAAGUGCGAAUGCUGACAUAAGUAACGAUAAAGCGGGUGAAAAGCCCGCUCGCCGGAAGACCAAGGGUUCCUGUCCAACGUUAAUCGGGGCAGGGUGAGUCGACCCCUAAGGCGAGGCCGAAAGGCGUAGUCGAUGGGAAACGGGUUAAUAUUCCCGUACUUGGUGUUACUGCGAAGGGGGGACGGAGAAGGCUAUGUUGGCCGGGCGACGGUUGUCCCGGUUUAAGCGUGUAGGUGUGUGUUCCAGGUAAAUCCGGUUCACUUUAACACUGAGGCGUGACG